rnacentral:lncRNA from 1 species
ACGGUAGCACAAGAUAAAGACAUGUUUUUUCUAACCUUACCUCACCAUUGACGUCAGCAACACCUGUACCUCCAAUGUCACUAACAAAUUACCCUCCUCAAUCAACACGUAACCCAGAAAAUGACUCUCCUACAUGACUUCAAAACCCAGAAAAAAACUUAGCACCAGUGACUUUAUCUAAUCCAAUAUUCUUUCAAGUCUACUCAAGGAAGAAGAAUGUUGAUCCUGAACUGAAGUCACUGAUGAGAAUCCUUUGCCACUGACACUGAUAUACCUAUUAUAAUUUUGAAGGACAUGAAGGAAUAUACUACGUACCGGCUUUACCCAAUCUCAAAUUUUGUGUCAUUUGAUAAGUGUUCACUAUCUCAUAAGAAUUUUUCAAUGAGUUUGAUACAGUAUCUAUUCUAAUACAAUAUUUGAAGCAUUAUUCUAAGAAAAAUGGAAAAAAUUUUUUGAAAGUUGCAAUGUAGGUAUUGCAAAAGAACCAAACAUGAGAGACAGUGAGCUUAUGUAAGGGAAAGAGACCUAUGGGAUGCAAAUAGGUAUUCAACAUAAAGUAUAAAGCUGAUAGGACAACAAAGAGAUACAAAGUCUGACUUAUGGCCAAGGGAUACACUCAAACAUAUGAGAUAAACUAUUAAGAGACUUUUACAUCUAUGGCUAAGAUGAAUAUAAUUCAGAUGCAAUUAUCUUUAGCUGUUAUCUAUGAUUUACAACUUCAAUAGUUUGAUGUAAAAAAUAUCUUCCUAGAGAUCUCCAUAAAGAAACUUACAUGAAAAUCCCACCAAAAUUCACGAAAGAUCUCUGAGUAAAUAAAAUUUGCAGAUAAAAAAAGAGCUCUUUAUGAACUCAAAUAGUCACCAAUGCAUGAUUUGAAAGGUUCGUAAAGAUAAUUUUGGCAAUGAGAUACAAGGAAAGUAAGGAGAUCAUACCUUGUUUAUCAAACAAUCUUAUUUAGAGGGAUUUAAUGACCUACUUGUGUAUAUUGAUGACAUUAUUAUGACAGGUAAUGAUGCAAAAAGAAAGAUUGGUACUUAAACAAUAUUUGGCCAAAGAAUUUGAAAUUAAAGAAUUAGAGAGACUAAAAUAUUUUUUCAGAAUUGAAGUGCUCAGUCAAAAAAGGAAUUAUAAUUUCACAAAAAAAAUACAUUGAUGAUCUUCUAAAUGAUACAAGCAAACUGGCAUGUAAACUUGAUCACAACCAUAAGCUGAGAUUAAUAGAGGAAGACACAGUCAUCAAUAAGGAAUAUACUAGAAAUUAGUCGAAAAACUUAUCUAUCUAGCACGCACGAAACAUGACAUUGCUUAUGCAGUAAAUAAAAUAAGCCAGUUAUACACAAUCACAAAGAAUUGCAUUUGCAAGCAACAUAUAGAAUGCUACUGUACUGAAAGAGAACUAGGAGAGGGUAUCAUGUUUCAAAAGAAUAAAAGAUUACACCUGUAAGUCUGCACUGAUGUUGAUUAUGUCAGAUCAGUAGAUAAAAGAUCCAACAACAGGUUAUUAUACCUUCUUUCGUCACAUGGAGAAGCAAGAAACAAAAUAUGGUGGGAAGUUCCAACAUACAAUCAGAAUUCUGAACUAUUGCCCAACGAGUCUGUAAGUUGUUAUGGUUGAAAAUGAUUUUUUGGAAGAUCUAAAGAUCAAGUGGGAUGGUCUAAUGAGACCAUUGUGACAACAAGUCAAUAAUCAGUACUGCUCAUAACCAAGUACAAUAUAACAGGACAAAACAUGUUGAAGUUGACAGAAAUUUCAUCAAAAAGAAGCUAGAGACAGGUCUAAUAUGCACACCCUUUAUGUUUAUCAACUUUCAACUUGUAGAUAUACUUACUAAAGGUUUGAAUAUUCCAAUAUUUCAUAAAAUUUAUUGCAGAGUUAGGAUUGGAUAAUGUCCAUUCACCAGUUUGAGGCAGAGUGUUUGGAAAGUAUAUAUGUGGGAUUUCGUGUUUAAGGGUAUAAUAGGAAAAAUACUCCUAUAUAAUUAAUUUUAUGAUUUCCAUUUUCAUACUCAAAGUUGUUAAUAUAUAUAACCUAGUUAUUUAAUAAUAAAACACAUCAUAUCUAUUCUCUCACACAUUUAGAUGUGUUUUCUUUCAAAUAUUUAGAAAAUGAAACCAUCGCAAGUAUCCCCAAUUGAUUUACCAAUGUUUAAUAAUAAAACACAUCAUAUCUAUUCUCUCACACAUUUAGAUAUGUUUUCUUUCAAAUAUUUAGAAAAUGAAACCAUCGCAAGUAUCCCCAAUUGAUUUACCUAGAAUUCAUAUUCGAAUAGGUUGCUUCUAAGGUUUUGCUUAGUGAAAUUGAAUUGAAUCCAGAUCCUAAAAAUCCAAAUUAAUCGAAUUUAAAAAUUUUGACCUAUUCAUUUUCAAAAUUUUCAUAAAUAUUAAUCAUUAGUUAGAGAUUAGAAUGAGAAUCUAGGUAGAGCGAGAAAGAGUUCCAAAUCCAAAUUUACCAAUGUUUAUCUUUAGACCUGAAACAACUUUGGAACAAGUAAGAAUACAUAUGAUUGUCGUCAGGAAUCCUAGUUAGUCCUAGAUAACAAAAUAGUGUCACCUGAAAACAACAAAUUGAUUACCUCCAGCAUCAUAUUUCAAGGAACACAUUUCCUUCCAGCUCUUUGGGAUAUGAUUUCUUUCUUGGCAUCCUUAUAGGUUAGUGUUAAGAAUGGUUUGUUAUGUAUUUCAUUUAGUAUUACAAUCCUAUAUAUACAAAUUUUCCAGAAUGGGAAAAAGACAGACAAUUAAUUACAGAAAGUGUAAUUUUACCCUUGUACUCUUUAAAUCUGAUUUACUUCCUUUUUAACACACCCUUUAACUUGAUUUAUUUUCUCUUUAAUAUCUUGAUUUACUUUCUCUUUAAUACCAUGAUUUACUUUCUCUUUAACAAUAAGGUUCAAGGUAGCACUAUAAGGAUAUAUACCUUUGUCUAUGUUGUAUAGAGAUAAGUUAGUCUUUCUUCUCCCCUUCUUUUUUUUUUCUUUUUCUCUUGGGAUACUUAGUCCUUUUGUAAUCUCUUCCUUUCUAAUAAUACAUUUCCUUUUUUAUCCAAAAACGAAAAAGGGAGUGCAUCUGAGAGCAUUAUCUUUAGAAAUUGUGUUAGUUAGCUUUGAAAUUGAAUUGCCUUUCCCGGUUGGUGUCACAUUGCACUACCCUUAUCAACAUUUAUAUAUGAUUUAUAUGGUAAUAUCCAUUCUGAAAUUCUUUUGGAUUUUUUCUAGGUUUCUUAUGUGUAGGAAAUUAGAACAGAAAAGUAUGUUGCUGUUAACAAACACUAUCUUUGGACAGGGCUAUUUCUUGUCUAGAUUCAACGAACAUGUUAUGCUGUAUCAGCGGACUUCUUACUCUGAGAUAACUAGUAGUUUGUGGC